rnacentral:rRNA from 1 species
AUUGAACGCUGGCGGCAUGCCUUACACAUGCAAGUCGAACGGCGGCACGGGUGCUUGCACCUGGUGGCGAGUGGCGAACGGGUGAGUAAUAUAUCGGAACGUACCUUAUUGUGGGGGAUAACGCAGCGAAAGCUGUGCUAAUACCGCAUAAUCCCUAAGGGGGAAAGCGGGGGACCGUAAGGCCUCGCGCAAUUAGAGCGGCCGAUACCUGAUUAGCUAGUUGGUGAGGUAAAGGCUCACCAAGGCAACGAUCAGUAGCUGGUCUGAGAGGACGAUCAGCCACACUGGGACUGGGGAACGGCCCAGACUCCUACGGGAGGCAGCAGUGGGGAAUUUUGGACAAUGGGGGCAACCCUGAUCCAGCAAUGCCGCGUGAGUGAAGAAGGCCUUCGGGUUGUAAAGCUCUUUUGUCAGGGAAGAAACAGCAGCUCUAACACAGUUUGCGAAUGACGGUACCUGAAGAAUAAGCACCGGCUAACUACGUGCCAGCCGCCGCAGUAA